rnacentral:rRNA from 1 species
GGUUCAGGAUGAACGCUGGCGGCGUGCUUAACACAUGCAAGUCGAACGAAGCAACUUGUCACGAUCCCUCGGGGUGAUGACUUGUUGACUGAGUGGCGGACGGGUGAGUAACGCGUGGGUAACCUACCUGUACAGGGGGAUAACAGUUGGAAACGACUGCUAAUACCGCAUAAGCGCACAGCAUCGCAUGAUGCAGUGUGAAAAGUUUUUCGGUAUAAGAUGGACCCGCGUCUGAUUAGCUAGUUGGUGAGGUAACGGCCCACCAAGGCGACGAUCAGUAGCCGACCUGAGAGGGUGACCGGCCACAUUGGGACUGAGACACGGCCCAAACUCCUACGGGAGGCAGCAGUGGGGAAUAUUGCACAAUGGGCGAAAGCCUGAUGCAGCGAACCGCCGCGUGAGCGAAGAAGUAUUUCGGUAUGUAAAGCUCUAUCAGCAGGGAAGAUAAUGACGGUACCUGACUAAGAAGCACCGGCUAAAUACGUGCCAGCCGCAGC